GACAAGCCGCUCCUUAUAAAUGUAUCAGUUCAUAAGGGAUCCUCUGGAGAACCUAUGAGCAACAGAAGACAUUUUUUGACAUAAAAAAUAAGAUGAAAUAUAAAGAACCGAGGCACCAAGUCUGUGCGUAAAAUGGACACUUUCGCGACGUUUUGACGGGAUCAGUUUUUACUCCAAGUUUAAAGAAAACACUGAAUGUUCUGGAUAUAAUACUCGGAUAUAUCGCAGCACCAUCAAAGGCCUGGCACUUUGUCUCACCUUUAUUUGGAUCGUUCUAGCUGUCAACACUUCCUGUUGCAGCAAAGGCCCCUCCCACUAGUCCAACAUGACAGACAGGACCCCAUGGUGGAAAGCAUUCCUGCCAAAGAAGAAGAGCGGUGGCUCAAAAGACUUAGGCCCAGCCUCAGUUGGCCCAGACUUUAACCCAUUCGCAGAGAAGCAGAACAACCCAACUGCAGUAGGUUCCAAGCCAUCUGAUGACCAGACCUUGACCGUGCAUGAGUCCAGCAAGAGCUCCAACCUCCUCAGCGACGAAACUUUUGAUGACUCCGCGCUGGAACCUGUCUUCAACGAACAAACGUGUCGCAGGCACAUGAAGGUGUCUCGCUCAGGUCGAUUCAAAGAGAAAAGAAGGCCGCGUUCAACCCUCCCGAUAGAGGAGAAAGGGACUGAAAAUGUUCCAGCAGGGAAGGAGGACAAGCGGUGAUGAGGAGGUGGAUGUAAUCAAAGACUGCUUUGAAGAGAUGCUUGCCAGGACUGAGAGGGAUUUAAAUUGAUGACGCCUCAUAAUAUUGAGGCUGGUGUACUGUAUAGAGUGCUGGUUUUGAGGGUGAUGAUGAUAUUCAGGUUUUACCCCAAUCAUACAGGAACAGGAUUAUGUGGUGCAAUAAAUUAAUAUAUGUUUUUUGGACUUUUAUAGUUUGACCUGCCUGAAGGGUCACAGAAGGAAUGCCAAAUGAAAUCUCAAACCAUUUUGUAAGCAUCAAUCACAAGUCAAAGCUAAAGACUGAUAAUGGGGAAGCCUGUGAGCACUUAUGAACCCAGUUCAGUUCAGGAAACUGAACAGCUCAUAAAUUAUAGUCUCUUAAUUUUUUUAAUUAAAGAAGCACAAUCAUGCAAUGCCAUUUUCUCUCCAGGUGGGUGAUGUGCUUCACAACACUGUUGCUAAAGCUAUGUAUACAUUCUGUAGAUGAUUAUGAAUAUUUAGCUAUGAAGGAUAUUUUCAAUACUUUUACAAACAUGUUAAUUCUAAAGGGUUUGAAGGAUGUAAUUGAUGACUAUGCCCCAGAAUGAUGAAGCAGCUUUGAGUCAGAUGUGCAACACUUGCCAGCAGAAACAGAGACAUUAAUGUUUUUUUUCAUGAAGGAUUAAAUGGGGCACGUUUUAUCAGGUCUUUGGUAAAGUGGGAACACUACUGAUGGGAACACUACUGUAUUUUGAUAGCCUGUGAAUACCUAAAUGAAGUAAUAUUUUGAGCAAUAAAUCUACUACAUCUGAA